rnacentral:tRNA from 1 species
GGGGUAUAGCUGAGGGGCAGAGGGUGUGCUUAGCAGACACAAGGUCCUGGGUUCAAUCCCCAGUAGCCCCA